UGAGGGCUGAGUGAUUGGCCCCGACCGCACAGGAGAAGUCAGCAGAGGGCAUAGUACCGGUGAUUACUCGACUGGUUUUUUUUCAGGAGUGAAUGUCUACGGGAAGGCC
rnacentral:ncRNA from 2 species